GGCUCUAUGGUGUAUUGGUUAGCAUAUCGGACCUGUAAUCCGUUGGACUGAGUUCGAUUCUCAGUGGAGCCU
rnacentral:tRNA from 1 species